GAAAAAUACUCUAAAUCUCAUCAAGCAACUUCUCCAUGUCCAAGAGAAAGAUCCUCCCACCUGCAGCUGGAAAAGAAGUGAGGGAAGGGAAUAGAUCCUCAGCUUCCAUUAGUCCAUUAUUGCAGAGGAAUUGUGCUCCAAAGUGAAGGAAACUGAAAGCUGAAGUCCAUCAGGUUCAUCCAUCUCUCAGCUUCAUUUUCGGAGGAAGAGGCUUCUGUGAUCUCAUCUCUUUGUGUUCAUCUGUGUACCUAACCUAGAAAAAAUCGCAACUCAGAGGCCACUUUCUACCAAACUUAAC